UAACUCACAGGGAUGAGGAAAGAGCGGGUUUCAAGAAGGAAUGAAUGGUUAACACUUGUUAAUUUUCCAAGGUCAAAUAUGUAAGAGCAGAAAGCUGUCCUUUAAGUUCUGAGAACUAAGAGGAGUGGAGUGACCUAAAAAGCGAGUGGUGGGAGCAAAAGUAAGCUGCAGGGACCCAGGAGGAGCAACAGGAGGUGAGGAAGCAGAGAUAUCAACUCCUCCAAGCUGUUCUACCAUAAACAGAAAGAAAGAUACGGGAUUGCAAGAGUGAUGGGCAGAUAAGAUGCAGAGAGGGUUCCCAGAAAGUCUGUGCACAGUGGAGAUGCCGAAUACCAUAAAGUACUGAAAGAAGAAGCAUCAGAUAGUAGAGAGAACAAAGUUGGAACGACCUGGCUUCAAAUCCUGAGUGGCUCCUUUGCUAGCCGUGUGACUGAGCACAUUACUCAGCCUUUGCAAGAGUCAGUUUCCCUGUGGAUAUCCUCAGAACAAAAUAUUCCUCCCAAGUUUAUGGGAAGAUUAAAUAAAUUAAGGUACAUACAGUGCCUA
rnacentral:lncRNA from 10 species